rnacentral:rRNA from 1 species
UACGGAGGGUGCAAGCGUUGCUCGGAAUUAUUGGGCGUAAAGGGUAGGUAGGUGGUCUUAUUUGUCUGGGGUGAAAGCCUUGAGCUUAACUCAAGAAGUGCCCCAGAAACGGUGAGACUAGAGUCCUGGAGAGGGUCGUGGAAUUCCCGGUGUAGCGGUGAAAUGCGUAGAGAUCGGGAGGAACACCAGAGGCGAAAGCGGCGACCUGGACAGGCACUGACACUCAACUACGAAAGCGUGGGUAGCAAACAGG